AGUGGAAUUGCUGGGUUACAUGGUAAUUCUUUAGUUUUUUGAAGAACUUUCAAACUAUUUCCUAUAGUGAUUAUACCAUUUUAUAUUCCCACCAGCAGU
rnacentral:pre_miRNA from 1 species